UCUCUGGUUUGGAGAUCUUUGUAAGCUGGCGAGGGAAAAGAACAAGCACAAAGCUUAGAAGCAACUCCUUUUCCUUCUGCACAUCAAUAGCUCCCUUAAAAGUGUUCUAGUGGGUGAUUAGGAGGCUGCAAACACUGGGAAGGAAAAAAAACUCAAGAAAUUCUCCACAAAAAAGAAAAGCUCCCAAACCAACGCAAACAGAAGGAACGGGGGAAGAGAGAGAAUGUCUCAGACACAGAAGAGAAAGCUGACGCACAGAAAUCUGCUAUGCAGGGGAAAGAUAGCUACACCACCAUGAAAAAUUAAGCUGACAGAAGACCUCCUCAAUCACCAAAAACUGUACAGAAGGGCAAGAAAGGUGAUGUAUUUAACUAACUCUCAACAAUGUAUAAUAAGGAGCCCCAACCUCAAAU